GACGGGGGGGGCAAGUGUUCUUCGGAAUGACUGGGCGUAAAGGGCACGUAGGCGGCUUUGUAAGUUAGAGGUGAAAGCCCGGGGCUCAACUCCGGAAUUGCCUUUAAGACUGCAUCGCUAGAAUUGUGGAGAGGUAAGUGGAAUUCCGAGUGUAGAGGUGAAAUUCGUAGAUAUUCGGAAGAACACCAGUGGCGAAGGCGACUUACUGGACACAUAUUGACGCUGAGGUGCGAAAGCGUGGGGAGCAAACAGG
rnacentral:rRNA from 1 species